GUCUACGGCCAUGCCACUGUGAACAAGCCCGAUCCCGUCUGAUCUUGGAAGCUAACCUGGUUAGUACUUGGAUGGGAGACCACCUAGGAAGACCAGGUGCUGUAGGUG
rnacentral:rRNA from 1 species